rnacentral:lncRNA from 1 species
UAGAGGAUCUCUGCUGUAACGUGACAUUUUCUAAGGCUCCCAUAGGCUCUUAGAAGGAGCCAGAACGGGGAAUGAUGACUCUGCAGUCCCUGGGCGAAAAACAGUAGGGCUUUUGGAAAGUGGUCGUUCUGAGAACAAUGACACGGGUGCGCGUGUGCAUGUGAAGACUCCAUUUUCUAUUUUCAGUGUUUGAACGAAAACAAGGUCUCCCGGUCGGAAUAUUAUCGCUAUUUUAUGAGAAAAAUCGCAUACAAAUUUAUUUUAAACAGCGUUUGACAUGCUUCGAAGUACGGUAAGGGAAUAUUUUGAAAUUUUAUGCCACGAUAGGCGCCGACGCGUCACCCUUCGGAUAGUGUCUUGAACGCAAGAACAAAACGCAGCUAUUUGGAUAUAACUAUGGAUUACUUGGAACCAAAACAACAUUGGGUGUUGAAGUAGAAGUCCUGGGAGUGCAUUCUGACGAAGAACAGCAAAGGACCUGAGCCCUAGGACCAUGCCUCAGGACUACCUGGCAUGAUGACUCCUUGUUGUCCCCAGUCCACCUGGCCGUGCUGCUGCUCCAGUUUCAACUGUUCUGCCUGCGGCUAUGGAACCCUGACCUGUUCACUAACCACCCACCACAAGAAGACCAAGCAGCGUGGUAUGGAGGAACAGAGGGUUAUGGACUCCUGGACUUGGGAGAUGAUUUUGGACGGAAAGGGACCCUGGACAACGCCUGGGGAGUAUCGCCGCCCGCAGUGGGAGAUCGAGGCAGCGAAGGCGGAACGGCGAUACUGGGAGGAACAGGGUAUGAAGCCUUUCCUGAAGGAGCUGCUGGACCCAACAAAACGCCAUGUCUUUGACAGUCUAACCAGAUCAGAGGCGGAGCUAACCCAGACCCAUACACACUGUCUCA